UACAGCUGGAGAAGAGAGUGAGCGUCAGCUGGGCGAGAAAUUACUUUCAUGGUUAAUCCGUACAAAGACUUGGUCAGCAACGGUCUCGCUUCUCUUUUUUCUCUUCUGGCUAUGUGUCACCGUUAGGUUUCUAGAUCUUGAUCUCCAAAUUUAAUUUUUGAUGGUUGGGCUUAUCAGUGGAGGUUCAUCCGGCUGCUUGUCUAUCGUGGAUCUUCUCUUUCCGAUAUAGUUUCCUACUCUCGAUUUUUUUGGUGUUCUUUGAGUCUUUGGUUUAAAUCUCGUUUCAUGGACUUUUUGCAUUCACUGAUAAUUUAUUUGGUUGUUUUUGCUUCUUGUGUUAGUAUUAUUGUGGUUGGAUUCUUAUCUCUGCUUGCUUCAGGAAUCGGGAUAGUUCAUGA